rnacentral:tRNA from 1 species
ACGGCUCCUUGGUCAAGCGGUUAAGACACCGCCCUUUCACGGCGGUAACACGGGUUCGAGUCCCGUCGAGACCGUA